UGGACUCGACAGAAACAUAGAGAUGGUAUGUGCAAAGUGCAAUGCAACAAGGAUGGCCACCAGUCAUUCUCGUUAAAAUGUUUAACAAGGAGAAAACUCAGGCAGCGACCACCCACGAGGAUGAGGGACCUAGUCGAAGAAGAGAUGAAGCUGACUCAUGUAAUAAAGAUGAAGAAGGAGUUGGACAUGAGGAAGAGGAGGAAGGAGAAGACAUGGUGCCGACCAGAAUAUCAUAUGAAGGGGAGGUACACCGCCGGAUUUUUGUGUCCAACUCAUAGACAUGGAGAUGAUAUGUGCAGAGUGCAAUGCAACGAGGAUGGCCACCAGUCAUUCUCAUUGCACUGUUUAACAAAGAGAAAACUCAAGCAGCGACUACCCACGAAGAUGAGGGGGCUAGUCGGAGAAGAGAUGACGCUGGCUCAUGUGAUGAAGAUGAGGAUGGAGUUGCACAUGAGGAAGAGGAGGAAGGAGAAGACAUGGUGCCGACUGGAGUUGCAGAUUAAGGGAAGGUAGAUUGCCGGAUUUUCGUGUCCAACUCCAGUAUGACAAAUAAAGUGCAGUGUCGGUUGUACCAUGGUGAAGGAAACAUUAUGUAUGGUCCAUAUGGGGUAGAUUUAAGUCCAACUCAGGUACACCGUCAGGGGCAUUGAAAAACCUAUUGAUAUGAGUUUUGGUGGCCUUCACAGUUGGUUAAUGAGGGGGUUUCGCUUUGACUCCCAAACUCAGGACAUAAUCGUGUAUGUGCUAAUAAGUCAGACAAAAAAGAUAUUUCUGGGAAUUGAUGUCGGUGCAUUCGACAGAGACAUGGAGAUGGUAUGUGCAGAGUGCAAUGCAACGAGGAUGGCCACCAGUCAUUCUCGUUACAAUGUUUAACAAGAAGGAAACUCAGGCAACGACUAUCCACGAGGAUGAGGGGUCUAGUCGGAGAAGAGAUAAAGCCAUCUCAUGUAAUGAAGAUGAAGGAGUUGCACAUGAGGAAGAGGAGGAAGGAGAAGACAUGGUGCCGAUCAAGAGGAGGUACAUCAAGAGGAGGUACAUCAUGUGCCAUGGGAGAAGGAGAACGAGGUCAUAAAGGGGGCGAAAUAUCGAUAUAAGGAGGAUUUGACAGAGGCAGUAAAACAGUGGUUAAUAUCAUUGAGAAGGGAUUUUUGGGUAGUCAAAUCUAGCAAGUCAGUUUACGAAGUUAAGUGUAGGCAGUCAGAUAACGGUUGUCCAUGGAGGGUACAUGCUUACAAGGGGAAAUGGAAGGAUUACUGGGAUGUAUCAAUCGUCACUGAACAUACCUAUCACGUUCAAGAGGUUGAGAAG